GGGUCAGGAGGUUGGUCGUGCCACCGGUACGUACUGGUCUCACUGAUUCCUCCUUCCUGAAGAACCGUAAUGCCAUUAAUUUGGUGUUGCGGGGAAACAGGACUGUUACUUUGAAAAAAUUAGAGUGUUUAAAGCAAGCUGACGCUUGAAUACAUUAGCAUGGAAUAAUGAAAUAGGACGAUCGAUCCUAUUUUGUUGGUUUCUAGGAUUGACGUA
rnacentral:rRNA from 1 species